ensembl:snRNA U6 U6 spliceosomal RNA
GUAUUCACUUCGUCAGCACAUAUACACAAAUUGGAACUCUACAGAGAAGAUUAGCAUGGCCCCUGUGCAGGAUGACAUGCAAAUUUGCGAAGCAUUCCACAUUUUU